GUAUGUGAGGGCAAUUUGGCCUCAACAUCUGUCAACAAUUGAUUGUCAGGGUUUAUUUGGCUGAUCUGGUUGCCUAGCAGGAGUCCCCUUCCUCCAAAACUGUUCCAUGUAUGUUCCUCUGAGAGCGGCACAGUUAGUCUAAGAGGAUGACUUUCCCACUAAAGAGACAGAUUGGUCUUCGGUUGAGAGUAUAUGAGC
rnacentral:snRNA from 1 species